rnacentral:lncRNA from 1 species
UACAGUUAUCUUCAAUGAAUAAAACAGUAGUUACCUUCAGCCAGCUUGUAAUAUGUUGUCGCACCUGCGAAGCUAAUUUGCAUUCAAAAAAUAAGUGAGAAACAUUUUCCUGCGAAGCUAAUGAAGUGUACGGAAAAAUAAAUAAAAAAUUUACAUUUUAUUAUAACAAAGCAAACAAUUUACUCUAUUGCUUUUUUCUUUAAAAAAAAAUAAAAAAUUUACUUUAUUGUUUCGUGGUGUUUUUUUUAUUCAUUUACUUACUGAUAAAAAACUCAUAUAGACAAAAGAACUGAGUUAAGUGAGAAAAAAAAUGAGAUUAUAGCUAGUAUUGAUAUUUUUACUAAUGUAUUUCGAAAAAUAUUUCAUUCUGUUGGUGUAUAAAAAUUUACAUUAGAAGCAGGGAGGGAACCAUAUUUAACGGUAUAAGAUAGGAAAGAAAAAACAAAUUACUUUACCCAAAAAAAAAAAAAAACAAAUUUUUAUUUGCAAAUAUAAUGCACACAUGAAAUUUAAGAAAUUAUAUGUUACUUCCCUCAUUUCCUUUUUUUAAGUGUUUUUUUAGAAAAUUAACACAAAAAUCACGAAGUGUAUUUUUUGCACAUUUUCUUCCUAGUAUACCCUCAUUUUAAUCCACUAAUAAAUUUCAAUUGUUUUGCAAACACUUUAUCUUUCCAAUAAAUUUAAUAUGUUAUAUUUCUCUCAUUGUGAGUUACUAUUAUCUUUUUCUCCAACAAAUUCCUAUUUUUUUACAUGCACUCUCUCAUAACAAACAAUUGUCAAUUUUCUAAAUAUUGUGUACAUCUUUUCAAUUAUUUUAAGUCAAUAUAAAAAUUAAAUUGAUGAAACUUCUUCUUCUUCAUUGUCAUCUUGUUCUUGUUCUUGUAUCUUGUCGAAUGAGUUUUCAACUAUUGCUCCCUCUUCACAUCUCAUCAUCAAUUUCAACGAGUCUUCCACUUUUUCAUCCUUUUGAGCAUACUACAUGGAGUCUUUUAUUUUUCUUCUCUCAAAUCUUUUAUUUUACUUUGCCCUUGAAAUUUUUAACAAUUGAUACUCAUCUUAGUUAUCGAAUUUUAACUCUUCUUGGAACCAUUGUUUGUAACAAAAUUUUGUUUAAAUUUGAAGAUAACAAGAAACAAACUUUGUUUAAAAAAAAACUGUGUUCCAAAUAGAUAGCAUUAAUUAGUUUUAUUGAAAAAGCUAAAAGUAAUUGGCAAAGGGUAUAAUUGACAAAUCGUAAUUUAAAAUACCAAAAAGACAGUAAAAUAGGAACGGAAAAUUCACCAUAAAAAGACACUUAAAAAUGAACGGAGGAAGUAUAUCCAAAGUUAAUAUGUAUCGAAAAUUGUGUUCAUGUGUAAUUUAUUUGUUGUUUUUUGUUGCCGUUGUUUCUUUAGUGGCACUUUGACUCUGUAAAUACUUGUCGGUGGUUCUCCUUUUGCAUACCUUAUACAGGUUGAACCACUCUGAUUUUAUUAAUAUCUCAUUUUGAUUUGUUAAAAAAAAAUGUAUCUAAAAUUAUAAGAAAUUUCAAAGAUGUUAGAAAAAUGAGUUCCUUGAGGCUUCUUUGAGUGUGACCAAAGAAGAUUUUUUUAAUAGUAGAGAUAGGAAAUAAGAAACAACAAGAAUGUAAAUGUAGGAGAAGAAAUUCAAGAUAAUAUCACAAACAUUAGUAGUGACUGAAAGGGCGCAAACAACACCGCGUGCAAUAUUUCUUACAGUUUGAGUGAAAUUGCAACAAAUAAUCACAAAUUAAUAUUCUAGUUAAGGUUCUUCUAAUUGCAUAAAAAAAAACUCACUUUAUUUCUCAAUUUCUCAAUGUUAUGCAUUCUAGUUAAGGAUUUGUGUUAUUAAAAUUUGAAAGUUAUACAAUGCUAAAUAUACUGAGUAAAAAAAAGUUCAUUAUACAAAAUCAUAUUAAGUUCACAGAAAAUAGUAUAGUGACAAAAAAAUAAAAAUAAUAAUAACAUACUAAUAUGAAGGGAACCAUGGCCUAUGUUAGUCUCCGUUCUAGUUUCAUCCCUGAUUGCAAAGUAUAUCAUAAUGCAAUCUUGUGUAGCUACGAUAAGAAUUAAAUAUUUUCAAUUAUCUACUAAUAGUAAUGAUUAAUUGACAAUGCAAGUACUCUUUACACCUGCAUUGCAUAUGAAUUAGAAGUCACUUUGUUGGCAUAUCACUCCUCAAUCUUGUGAUCCUCCGUUCAAAACUAGCGGUAUGGUAACAAAACCCAUAUAUGUGGGUAUCCGUUUGAACCAAACUUAAAUUGACGGGUUUUUUUUAUUUUAAUUGGGUUUGGGUUUGUCUCGAUUUCAAAAGAUAGAUACGGGACGGGUAACAGGAAUAUAGGUACUCAUCUCAAACCCAUCCUGAAUGUAGAAAAUUAAUUUAUUACCCAUUUUAUAUAAAUAAAAACUCAAACCCUAAAUCAUUUCACUCAUACAAUCAGAGUCUCGGUCUUUCAGAUGACACAAUUAUCAUAGUUCUUUCUUUUCUCCUUCAAUAUUCCACACUCUCAGCCUCUCUCUUCUUCAUCACCAUAGUCAUCGAUCGUCGUCAUCUUUUUACUGAAUAAUGCAUUAGUCAUUACAACUUUGCGCUCGGGGAUAAAAAAUACUUUUAUUUUUAAUAAAAAAAAAUUAUCCACUUCGGGGAUGGGAAUGAGGCGGGGAUGCCCAAACCCGUCGGGGACAUGGAUGAGAUUCGAUUUCUCAUCUCCGCUGAAUAUGGGUAUGGUAACGGGUAAGUAUUUGAAAAUAUGGUAUGAGGACGGGGAAGGUAAAACUCAUCCUCACCCUACCCCAUUGUGAUGCCUAUUCAUGAAGCACAUAUAUUUAGGUAAAUAUUAGAAUAGAAUAACAUUGGAAUGAAAUAAUGACAAAAUUAUCUCUUCACAUGUUUCAUAUUGAGACUCUUUUAUUUACAAUGAGUUCCUUAUUUCGUCGUUAUAGUUUAAGUGAUUUCACAUCACAUACUAUACCCUAACAACAAAGACAUAUUAUGCCACUUGGUUUCGGUACACAUUUCAUUGUCACGCAUCGUCGUCUUAUGGUUGUUGUGCCUUCAAUUUAGUUAAAACUAUGGGCUAUUGCUACAGACUGACAUUUUCCUCAAAAUCAAAACCACCGUUUAUUUGGCAGGUUAUGCAACUUCAUGUUGACUUCCUUCUAUUGAAAACCUCUCUUUCCAACGUAAUUUUUACGUAGCAAUACAUCCCCUUUGCUUAAUUAGUGACAAUAUUUGAAGUUACCCUACCUUGAUCAUCAUCAUCCCUUGCUUAAUUGGUGACGAUAUUGGAAGUAACCUUCAUCAUCUUCUUUGUGGUUUUUCUAGGAAUUCUUUAGGUGUCUUCGAGUUUGGAAGCAUACAAUCAUUUUUGUAAUAAUUAAAAAUUAAAAUUGUUACAAACUUCUAAAACACGGAAGGGUGAUUGAGUUGUCCUCGUGGAGUCAUGUGUCCAAUUGGUUAUAUAUACAAUCAUAUUAUAAUAGUCGUAUAUACGUAAACAUUUUUUAAAAAAAUAUGUACCACACUUUAAAAAUUCACAUAUGCAUUAAUUAAUUUACUUUUAACCUUAUCUUCUAAUAUAUUAUUAUAAAUUAAUUAAUAGUUAUUUUAAGAAAAACCAAUAAACAAUAUAACGCAAACUUGAAACAAAGAGUGAAUCAAGGAGAAUCUACAAAAUAAGUAGAGUAAUGUAUAAUUAAUACAGAAAAAAAAUUAACAAAUAAAAUUUAUCUCACCUUACCAAUGGAGAUUUUAUCUAUUGGAAAUGGUUGAUAUACUUACAAUUAGUUUUCGACACACAUCGAAUAUGAUUAUCUCCAAUUUAUGUGGCGGAAAAACUUAUCACACACGUUAGAAAAAGAAAAAAGUGUUUAUUUUUCUAGUUCCAUGAGUUUCUACAAGGUUUUUUUUACUUCACUAGCUAGUGAUGACUCGCAUGUGAGAUUUGCGAGUGCAACUUAACAUAUGUGAUUUUGAGACCACGAGAGAAGCAUAUAAUUUUUUUUUUUAAAGUACUAUAAAAUAAUAAUAAAAUUUGAACAUAUAUAUGAAAUGUGGUUGUAUCUUUCAGCAUGGAUUAGAACUUUGUUUGUCAUGUUUAUGAGAGUUUAAUCUCUUGCGCUAAAUUCAACCUUAUUGGUGAAUCUAGAUUUUUUUUUUUAUGUAUAUAUGUAUAUAUAUAUAUAUAUGAUGUUUCUAACCUAAUUAAGAGUUAUAUGUUGUAAUAAUAUUAUAUAAUUGUCUUUUUACUCCUUUUCGAUCUUGAGUUAUUUUGGGACGGGAAAAUAUCUUUAUUUUGGUUUUCAUAUAACUAUUCCCCCUUUUUUGUGAAUCCAAAGCAUUGCUUGAAAACUUUUAUUAUCAGCAUUGCUCGAAAGUUGAAACUAUUCCCGCUGGAUUCAAAGUUUUCAACUUCACUAAUUUCUUUGAAAAGAAAAUACUAUAAAACUUCACUGACAUGUUACGUUACAUUUGGAAGCCAGUCAUGUACCGUAAUAAUUGAAGAAAAAAUAUUAUCAGCCGACACUAAAUGCAUAAAAGGUUAAGACAUUACCGAUCCAUGUUUUGUCGUUGAACAAUUAGUCAAAUGUUAAUUGGUUUCAUUCAGAAUUAAGUGUAAAAAAUUUGAUGAUGAUAAUGAAAGAGACUUGAGUGUAUUACCCGACUAAAAUCCAUUUCGCUUUCUUCAUGUGCUCUAGAUCUACAAUUACCUGCUACACAUUCCAAUGGAUAAAUUCUGGUAAUUAUAAAUGUGAUUACUUAAAAUAUAUAUGGUGGCUUCUUAAACUAAAUUAUAUAAAUUGUUAUCGUUAAAAAGCGACUUUUAGAGUUUAUAGCAACAAUCGUAUCUAUUUGUUCACGGGUUUUUGGAUUAAGUUAGAUUUAGGCUAUUGGUCAUUUCAGUCCACUUAUAAAAAUGGAAGGAUGGAUAUUAUUUUAUUAAUUUACACCAUUCGGAGAAUUUCCUUAUUUUGUAUCAAGUCAAAUAAAAAUUAUAGCCUCAACUCUGGCAAAUUAUUUGCAACAUGUUACCCAAUAGUCUACAUUAUAUAUCUAUUAAAAAUCUUAAUAUCUUGUACAAACAUUGUGUAUAAAUCUUUAUUCGAUCAGUUAUAACAAAUUACAUAGACAUAUAGUGUGUUCGAUCGAGAAAAAUAAAUAAAAGAUUGGACAUGAUAACUACAUUUAUACUAUGUGAUUGUAAAACUACAUCAGGAACUAGAUAAACUUAGAGGGUAAAGGACACGAUAAAAAUUGAAAUUAUUAUCAUUUACUAAAUCAGAAUACAACUUUUUGCCUCAAAUACAAGUGAAUAAAAUACCCAAAUAGACUUUUAUCCACCAAGGAUCGUCGUCUAAGAUAAAAAAAAUUGUUCAAUAUAAUUAAAGUUAGUAAUGUGUCUUAUGUCUUAUUCCGUGUUCUUAUGUCCAAUACUUACAUUUUUAGAUAAUCAAACGUAUUCAUCCUGUUGAAGUACAUGGAGUCGAUACAAGUUAAGAACACAGUGGCUUGGGUUAGGUGAUAGAUGUACAAUCGUAUAGCUUAUAGGUCAAUUCUAACAUGUUUCUGAAAGUCAUUUUGUAUGGAGGUGUGUUAUUUGAACAAUCAUUUGAAUGAUAACUUUUGUGACAACCACUAAUUUACAAAGGAAAGUAGAUAGUGACACGGAAACCAAAGUAAUAGAGAGAUAAAGUAAAAAAAUAAUGUGAGUAUGAAAAAUAAAAUUGUCACAAAAUGGUUGUCAAAAUAUCAUUUCUCUUUUGUAUAACAUGCACAAAUAUUUAAAAGAUAAAUGAUAUUUGUAUAACCAUUUUUUUGACAACUUUUAGACAAUUUUCUCUCUCAUAUUCACGUUAUAUUCUUAACCUUUCUUUUCCUUUUUCUCUCUCCUUUGUUUUUAACCAAUAAAAAGAGAGGAAAAAAAAGUUGUCAAGAAAGUUGUUAGCAAAUAGUUGUUCAAAUAUCAUUGCUCGAGUUAAAAUCGUGCUCACUAAACACAAAUGAUUUUUGACGAAGUUUUGUGUAGGCACAAGCAUUUCGGCGCACAUACAUAAAUCAAAAAAAUUAAAAGAUAAAUAAAACAGUCACAUCAAUCAAUAUCAUUUUAAUCAUUUAGUUUUUAAUUUUUUUUUAACUUCAUGGAUGCGUACCUAAAUGUGAGGUGUUGGUCAUAUGACCAAAUAAGAGAUUUUCAUGAUUUUUUUACCAUAAGAUCAAAAAGUUAUAUCAUAUCUCAUUUUAUUACAUUUUUUCUUUAAUGGUGGGGUUUAUUGGUUUCUAAAAAUAUAUCAAUUACCACCCUUUGUUUUCAAAUUCUUUAACCCCGUCACUAAAAACAUAAAAGUAUUUGGAGUAGGUUUAUUUUGUGAAAACAUUUUAAGUUUUCUAGAAUUUAUAUUUUUAAGCAAAAGUGAAUUGCAAAAAUUUAAGCGAGAUUUUUUAUCACAAGUUUACAAUUAUGGUGAAAUCGAAGAACUUAACUACUUAGGUUGUAAACUAAGAACAUUUUAUUAACAAAGAACCAAAAACAGGCAUGAUGGAGUGCAUAGACCAAAAUCUAAAGAAAAAACAUCAAACAGAAAUAAAGGGAAACUAUGUCGAUUAUUAUAACAACAAUCCUCUAAAAUAAAUCUAGGUGGAAGAGUCCACCAAAUAUAACGUUUAGAUUAAAAACCAAAUCCCGCUAUAAAUAUGAGAGAUUACAAUUAAUUGCAUUUGAGAACACAAUGACAAAGCAUUGCGUUGUCUUUUUUUUUUUUUUUUUUUGUCAUUUAGCUUAAUGGCUAUAGAAAUUCACCUUAAAGAUGAAUAAUUGAAGUGUCAUGCAUCGUCUGUUUUUUAAUCUCCACGUGAUAGACCGAGAAUUCUAAAAAGACUUCACCGAUAAUGACGGUGGAGAUUAAAAAACGUUCAUAAUUGCGGCCAACAAAACAAUUUGUGACUAAUAAUUCUAACCUUUUUAAAGAAAAACACGAAGUAGACAAGAAAAAGGAUGUAUCAAUAUGACAAUCAAUGGAAGUCCAAAGUCAACUCUAAAUGUUAACAUCAAAUUGAUUAACGUUGUAACUUGUAACACCUCGUUUUUUCAACUUAAAAAUUUCACAUAUAAAUUAAAGUAUUUCAACAUAAACAGAAUGUCACACUUCUUUUCAUAAAAUCAUAAACAGAAUAAAAUAACUAUUUAUCCUUCAAAUUCAACAGCAUAUCAUUUAUUACAUCGCAACGGAAUGUAUUCAACAUUUAAACAUCUUUUGCACCAAGGCCUCAACAUAAAAUCUCUUAAAGUUAUUCCAACAACAUGUUCAUGAAAGUUCAUAAAAUAAUACGUAAGGAAUAGAAAGCAACAACAAAAUUCUCAUCCCGUUACGUAUCAGGGCACCUAAGACACACGUGAGAGAUAGUCCACUCACGACAACAACUAACAGCAACUAUUCUCGAUCACCUGCAGGUUACCCAUAUGAAGGGUAACAAUUCCAAGCAGAAGGGGUGAGAUUUCAUAUUCAAAUAAUAAUAAGCAUAUAAUUCAUUAAAUGCAUUUAACAACUUAAACUUCAUCAAUUAAUAACAUUAACUCUUCUUAUAAUACUUCGUUAAUAACUCAAUCAAUUUCUAAUCAUCAUUAACUUCAUAUUCAUCACAUUAUAUACAACAUCAUAUAGCACAUAAUAAUCAGAUCAUAAACAUCAUCAUAUAACGACAUAAUCAUCACAUCAUAAACAUCAUCUUAUAACAAGAUAAACGAUACAUCAUAAACAUCAUCUUAUAACAGCAUAAACAACACAUCAUAAACAUCAUCUCAUAACGACAUAAACAACAACGAUUAAUAAAUAUUAAUACUUCACUUAGUUCUUUAUUAACAACUCAUUGACAAAUGACAACUUAACGACAACGACAAUGCGACUUCUACAUCUUAAACUCAACAUAUGCAACUUCAACUUCUUAAUCAUGCAUGUGGUACCAACCAGAGCAUCAAGCCCUCAACAUAAAGAGCAUAAAUACACUCACAGGGCAUCAAGCCCUCAACAUAAGAGCAAAAGCUCACAGAGCAUCAAGCCCUCAACUUCAAAUGAUUAUGCAUGGACUCAAAAACGUACAACUUAGACAAAUUCACAACUUAUAUGAUCCAAUAUCUUGGAAUAACAACUUACAACUUUACAACUUAGACCAACACUUGCAACUUAAUGACAAUAAUGGUUCAACAACAACAGAAACAGCAACAUAAACAUCUUGCAACAUAGCAACAUCAAUAAUAACAAUUUGAAUGAUAUAAACAAUAAUAAUUUCUAUAUCAUACAUUUUCAACACCUUAUAUAAAUAUCUUAAAUUAACCAACAAUCAUUAAUCAUUUGAUUCAGGCUCUCUUUAACUCUAUAACUUAAUAACAACUUCCAUUCUUAUCCAAAGAUCAACUCAAAACAUAGGUUAAAUACUCUUAAACAUCUUAAUUGAACUCAUAGUACUUCUAGUUUUGAGGUUUUGAAUUAUCCCAUAAGUUUUGGAUUAACUUAGAAAUGGUUAUGCUGAAUUUUCAUAAGAUUUCACUAAGACCUCUCUGGAGUAUUUUUUAUCAUAUCUCAAAAACCAAAAAUCAUUUUCAAAUCAAACCAAAGCCAUUGAAAAGCUAAUAAAAUUAUCUAAAACUUUCAUGUUUACAACUAGACACAGUUCAAAGCGGAAAGGGGUGAAAAAUAGUAAAAUAAGAAGGAUCUGAUUCACAAAAAUCGUGCCACGUUUUUAUGCCCAGAACCAUUGAACUUUCGGCCAACAAAAUUGUGCCACGCUUGCAAAAUCGUGACACGUUUUGACAGCAUCAGGUCCAGAAAUCUGCUUUUCAAAAAGUGCAAUUUUCACCAUUUCGCGCGUAAAAUUCAAACCGUUAAUCGGAUUUUGAUGCCGUUUUCGCCUACACGCUCCUGAAACUUGGCUCUAUCAUAAUCUACAGCUAUUUCAAGUCUCAACCAUCCCAAGAAUCAUUUUCCAAAACCUCACAUAAUCCCUUAUUUGCAAAAACGUUUAGACACCGACUUUUCAAGCGAAAAUCUCAAUUUUCAUCAACUCAACCCCAAAACUGGUUCUAAUCAUUGUACUGUGAAUAAUCUAAGGUCUGAACAUCGUUUCUUCAUUAAUUCAACAGGUUUCUAUCAUCUAAUCAACCAAUUACAACUUUUAACCCUAAUUUCCCAAAUUCCCAAAACUACAACCUACAACAUGUUAAAUCCAAUUUUCAGAAUUAUACAACUUAUAAUUAAAGAAUGUUAUCAUUCUAGGUUCUUCUCUUCUAUUGUUUUCUCCCUUUUUCUCCAAAAACUUGUUUUACGCGAUCCUUAUUUUCUAAUUCUAACUCUCCCCUUUUAUAUAAAUCCUUAACCUACUUAUUUUCUCUUAUUUCCAAAUCUACCCCCAAAGUCUCAAUAUUCUAUUCUAAUAUAUAUGUAUAAUAAAAUACUUCUAUAACAAAUAACAAAUAUAUCUCUAUAACAAAUAUAUUUAUGUACCAGAUAACAUAUAUAUUUCUUCACCAAAUUAGAUAUAUAUUUCUACACCAAAUAACAUAUAUAUUAUACUAAUAAAUACCAACAUAUAACAUAACAAAAUAUCACUCAUCAAAAUAAAUCGACUAAAUUAUAAAAAGACAUCUAAAUUCAAUAAAAUAAAUAAAUAUUAAAAUAGGGCGUUACAAACGUGCUUUCUAUCAUCGAUGAACCAGAGCAAAAUUACCAUUAGAUUCAAUCAAUGGUCAUGAUUUAUACAAAAUAAAAAUAAGAACAUUUAAGAAUUGCCUCGCACAAUCUUGCCCCUAUUAAACUUUUUUAUUUUUGGUAUUCAUCAUCUUCAACCUCCAUUCCAAUUUUUUCGUAAUAAAAAAAAAAAAAAAAACUCCAUUUCAAUUUAGGAGCAAUGCUACAAAAGAGAAUUUGCACAAAAAAUUGAGUGUGUCUUCAAAAGUUUACGGGGUUUGCUAAAAAUCUAGUUUAUGGGUUCAAUUGGAGGUGGUGACUAAUGAAAUUGGAGGUUUAACUCAUCCUUAAAAACCAGUUCAUAAGGUGAGUCACGCCCAGCACUCUUUGGGCUUACGUGAAUCGGUAGGUAUUUGGGCUUACGUGAAUCGAUAGGUAACUCUUGAAUUCGACAGGUUCUGAUACCAUAAUGAAAUUGGAGGCCUAACUCAUCCUUAAAAACUAAUUCAUAAGGUGAGAAUUGUCUCCUCUAUAUUAACUCUUAUCAAGAGUCUUAUCUUUUCGAUGUGGAACAUGAGUUUUUUUCAAUAAUGACCUUUAAAGUUUAAACACGCGGCAUCUUUGAAUUCUACAUAGAAAAAAAAAAUAGAAUUAUAGCGUGUUAUGUUUGUUUCUCUAGAGCAUGAGACAUUUCAUUGUUCAGUUUAUGUUGUCAUGGAAAGGCAUAUGAGUGAUGGGUGUACAUCAUCGAUCGGUGGUUUGAUUCUCGUGAAUAGAACAAAAAAAAUCUGAGCUCAAUGGUACAAAUCCUUACGAUGAAAGGUGAGAUAUAGUAGGAUUGUGUGUGGAUAGUUGUAAAUGUUAUCUUUUUUAAUUCUAGUAGAUCAAAAUUGUUAAUCUCAUUUCAUGGUAAAAAUUAAAUAGUCCAUUUGUGAGGGACUCAAUAGCUCCUUCACCUUAGACGUCACCCUUAAUUAAUAAGAAACUAACGGCGAGGGACUCAACUCCCUCACCUUAGACGUCACCAUUGAUUAAUAAGAAACUAACGAUUGAAGUAAAUAAACGAGAAAGAAACUCAAACUUCUUUCUAAACUUUCUUUCUCUUUCGUUCAUCAAGGAGGGGUGGUUUUUGACCUAGAAUCACCCCUCUACAUCUUUUUUCCCAUUUUCUUUCAAUCUAAAUAAGUGGUUUUCACAUACAAGUGUUUCCUUUUGUGUUUUUUGUGAUUUUGUCGUCUAAGUACAACGCUGUGUUGGUCGUCGUCUUGUGCGGCGUUUGAUUUCACGUCUUGUCGCGGCGUUCGUUUAGUUUCUAUUGAAAGAUUGACAUCGGUCAAUUAUAAAUCCAAUCAAUGAUUUGGGUGUGAAUGUUGCCGAUCUAGAAACAUGAGUAUUUCGGUGACUUAGAUUUAAUCAUAUUAGUUGUAGCAUUUUGUCAUUUUAUGUUAUUAACUUGGGUGCUGUGAGUUUGUUCGCAGUUUUACCCUUUACGUUUCUAGCGAUUUUUGUAUCUGAUGUACUCUAUCAAUCUGAAUGAAUGAAUAUCGUUUUGUUUUUAUUAAAAAAAAAAAAUAAAAAAAAAACUAACGGUUAAAAGUUUGCUCUACAUGCCUACAAUGAUAAUAAAUAGAGAUAAUUUACUACAACUUUUAAAACAAUGAUGCUCAUUUAUAGGAACUUUACCAUAAAUAAGUCUCCAAAGAAAAAAUGAUUUGGAUUGAGGAAUUGAAGGUUUCCAAAUAAGCUAUGUCCAUGAUUGAUCAUAUGCAGAAACUUGACAAAAACUAUCAGCAUCCUAAACUGAAAGAGAACCUGAUGAAGAACCCUUCUAAGCAAGAUAUUCAGUGGAAAACUAUACCCCGAUAUUUAUCAAAUUUCAUAUUUCACCAAUUCAACUCUCUCUAUCAAUAGUAUAUAUAUAAAGUAAGAUUUUUUAUGACACGUGUCACUUCCACGUUUAUUCGCAAUAUUUUUAUUUUUUUUCUAAUUUUUCAAAACCAAUAUUUAAUUUGGCAUAAAUAUCUCAACAAACUUUUGAUCUUAUCUAUUAAAUAUUUUACUUAACUAUUUAUUGAAUUCCUAAUAUUUUAUGUAAUAGAAAUAUCUCAACAAAAUUACAUACGAUACCCUUCAAUUAAAAAUCAUCAAUCAAUCAAUAGUAUAUAUAGUAAGGUUUCUUAUGCCACGUGUCACUUUCAUGUUUAUUCGCAAUAUUUUUAUUAUUUUUAUAUUUUUUAAAAUCAAUAUUUAAUUUUGUAAAAAAAAAAUCAAUAUUUAAUUUGGCAUAAAUAUUUCAACAAAAUUUUAACCUUAGGGAUGGCAAUGGGUACCCUAUCCCAAUGGAUAGGGUACUAUAGUACCCUAUCCAUUGGGUACUCAUUGCCAUAAAUGUAUUGGUCUAUUCUCCACUAUCAUAAAUAUAAAGUGAAAUAUAUUGAAUUGGAAAUGAUGAAAGUAGUAUUAAUUAGAGUUAUAAUUGAAAAAAAAAGUAAUUAAUAAUUGUAUUGAAAAGUUAAAUGCAUCAAGAUUUUUGAGACAAUAUUUUUUACAAAUAACUUAGUUAUUAUGGGACGGAGGGAGUAACACUUUAACAUGACAAUGAAAAGUAAAUUUAAGAAUUAAAAUGCAAGAAAUGAAGAGAAUGUUUCUCUAACACAAAACUAUUUUUUUUUUCUCUUUCACUUAUACACUUUUUUAAUGUGUAAAAUAAAAAAUAAAAAAAACUUAUGUAUAAUGAGACGGAGGGAGUAGUUAGUAAGAACAAAGUCGUCAAGGAACCAAUUAACUCUUGAUUUCACUUCCCAAAAACGUCUUGAUAGUGCUAUACUCCCUCCGUCCCAAAUUAUAAGCAAAAAAACAAAAAUCACACUUAUUAAGAAAACUAAAACAUAAAAAUUUGGAGUAUAGUUUUUUGUGUUUUCGUUGGAAAAAGUUUUAUAGGAAGAUGUAAAAACAAUUUUCAUUGGCUAUUGAUUAUGGAAAAAAUGAAAGAAAGAGAAAAUUGAAUGUAAUUUGCAUUUAAUUUUAUGAGAAUAACAAAAAAAAAUCUUGGAAAAGAUUAAAAUUUGUCUUUUUUCCUUAUAUUUUGGGACAAAGAAAAUGAAUUUCUUUUGCUUAUAUUAUGGAACGGAGGGAGUACUUGGUUAAGCUGGAUUGAGCAUUCAAUUCUAAUUUAAGGGCCUUUAAUUUACCUUAAAGAAUAAACAUAGGACAACCAACCACAUAAUUAUUUAUACCAAACAUUUUCCACCACGUGGGUGAUAUCUGGAAGAUGAGAGUCCAUUUAAGUGAGUCAAUGUGACGAAAAAAAAGAUAAAAUGGCAAUUUUAGGAUCGUAAAUUUCUGAAAAUAAUGGAAGUAGUAAUUCUUUUAACGUUUUCAUUGUUUUAAAAAAAUUAUCCAAUCAUAUUUUAUAUGCAAUUUUUGUUUUUUAGAUUAAUUAAACAAUAAAUUUUGUUAACCAGUGUCCUAAGGGUGAUGAUUAAGGAAUUCAAAUGUAAAAGUUUUGUCUUGUAAUUGUAGGAUGUUACAUUUGAUCAAGUAAUGAUUAUACUACUUUUUAUUAAAAACUUACUUGAUUUAGUUGUUUAACCAGUGUGAACACUAGUUAACAUUCUCCUUAAAUAAUUGAUGUUUCUGAAAUAUAAUAUAUAUAUAUAUAUAUAUAUAGCUCAGAUACAUCACUUAUUUAAUGAAGAGUUUUUUUUUUUUCCUUCUCUUAAUUAACGAAUAAAACUAACACUUAUAUAUCUACCAAAAAAAAAAAAAAACUAACACUUAUAUAAUAUAGUUCGGAUACAAUAUAUUUAUAUAAUAUAAUCCGGAUACAUCACUUAUAUAAUCAACAUUGCUAUUUACCGCGACAAGUUUUGUCCCGAAUGCAUCAAGAAUGAAAAUAAGCCAAUUAAAAACAGCUGUUAGUGGAAAUCAUGGGAGGUGGGGGAGAAAAAGAUGGAAAUCAUAAACUAAUGGAUGGAUGGCAUACAUGCCACAUGUGUCUGGAAAAUCUCGGGACAGUUUUAUUUCGUGUGAAAUAGCAUUUUUCCUUAUAUAAUAUAGUCCAGGUACAAGGCAACUAUCACCGGAUGAGGUUUUAUCUUUUUAUUAAUGAAUAAAACUUUUUUUAAGAAGCUAAAUGCAAAAUAUAUUAAAAACCAAAUUAGUUAAGCACAAGAUGUGCCAAACGAAAAACUGUGUAUAACGUCAAAGUAACAAACUCGAUAAAGAAAGAAACCACAAAUAAUAAAAAUCAAAAGCGAAAUUCAGUUUAUGUGUCUUUAGCCACCACAAAAAAUGAAAUUUAAUAUUGUCGAGAAGUUGAUCCUUAGAAGACACGUUGUUAUUGAAAUUUCUCGAGUUUCUCUCCUUCCAAAUUCUCUCCUUCGAAAUAACUCAAAGACAUGUCAGCACACCACUUUAAAACAAGAGCUAAUGUCCUUCCUGAAAGCAUGCGCGCCAAAAAAUUGUUGUGCGUGACAACCAAUAUUUGAUGGAACGACGGUAGUUUUACCCUACCAGAUCAACAAACACCCUACCAGAUCAACAAACAGGGAAAAUAAAUAAAAAAUAUUUUUGCAAAGUAAUUAAACGGAUUCUAAUGUUUAAUAGGAACCGAUCGAGGACAACAUAGAAAUCAUGCUGGAAUUUGAAGAAGAAAUACAAACCUAAUUAAAGAGAGGGGCUAAGUAUUUCCAAGCUGGAACUUGAAAAAGAAAAACCAUGCUCUAAUUAAGUAACUAAGUAAGGUAGUACAUUACAACAAUUGAGAUAAGUACGACACAUUAUGAUGAUUAUGACUUAUGAGCUGUUAAAUGAUGUUGUAGGAUUACUUUUUUCUUGUCAAAAAUAAAUAAAUGAUGUUGUAGGAGAAACAUUAUUAUAAACAUUAUUAUAACUUACAAGGACUAAUGUUUAAAAAAAAAAACUUACAAGGACUAAUAAUGAGACAGAACGAAAGUGUACGUGAGUGUAGGAGACACGUUAUUAUAACAUUUUAUAAAUAUUUAAACGUUGAUAAUAAUUUUGUCGAUCUAUAAACCACUACCAAUUCCUAGUUAAAUAUAUAAUAAUUUUUAUUAUAUUUGUUAGUUGAUGGUAAAAGAUGAAUAUAAUUUGUUACUAUAUUUUUUUUUGACAAAAUAAUUUGUUGCUAUUUAAAAUUCAUAAAUAUAGUCUAUACAUAUAAUUUUAAUAAAAAUAAAAAUUCACCCAAAAAAAAAUCAAAAAUUUCAUAAAAAAAUAAAUAUUGUUUAUAAUUCACGAGCGUUGUCGCAGUACAAAAAUGGAUAGAUGGAUACCCAGUACUAGUAAUUAAUGAAGUUAAUUGGUAAAAUUUCACUCUUACUGGUGGUUGAUGGUAGGGGUGUUUACGGUGCGGUUUGGUUCGGUUUUGAGAGAAAAAGUCAUCCAAACCGCAAGAUAAAAAAACAUGCGGUUUGUGUAACACCCACAGCUGACGAGGGCAGGGGAGUGGUCACCGGUGCACAAGGCACGCCAAUGAGCGGCUCCCGACAGCUUCUAGAGGAACCGAAUCACAUCUGAAUGAGAGGGAUCCUGAGGCCGUGUAGGUGUGGGACUACAUGAAUGAAGGAAUGCUUAUAAGAAUUGUUUGGUAAUACCUAUAUCAACAAGGUGCAUCUUCUUUUUGGUACCCUAUUCCAUAAGAACUCCACAGUUAAGCGUGCUUGACUUGGAGUAGUCUUUGGAUGGGUGACCUACCGGGAUUCCCGAUAAGCAUGCGAGUGAGGACAAAACACGCUGAAAAGACUCGUGUUGGUUUGUAGGGUCAGUCGACAAUGCUUAAAGUCGUCUGGGAUGUUACAGUUUGGUUUGGUUCGGUUGGCUUUAAAAUAAAAUCCGAACCAAACCAAACCAAUAUGGUUUGGGUUGUAUCGGUUGGUGCGGUUUUUUUCGUGACGAUACGAUUUUUUGUUUCCAACAUUAAAAUCAAGAUAAAAAGCUGAAACACAAUAUAUUUUCAACAAUGUUUUAAAUUUCAUCAAACAUUACAAUUUCAUUUUCAUUACAAUGUUUCCAACAACAUAAACCAAAUUAAAAACGCGGACAAAAAGUAAUCUUAUUUUGUAAGAAAUGCAAAAGACUGAGAUGUUCUCAUUCUCUAAAAGUUAAGUAGCACAUAAAUACAUUUUUAAAUAAAAAGCAAAUAAUGAACUUAACAAGAGAAAAAAAAUAUGACAUUUUAUAAAAGUUUUCAUUGAGUUUCUAUGAGUAUUGGUCUUGAUGACAUAUGUUUAAUUAACAUUUUUCUUAUGUUAUGGUUUGGUUUGGUUUUGUAUCUAUUUGACAGUCUCUUUGUACUUUGAGCGACCUCUUUAGUACGCCUUAUGCUAAAGAGGUGUCUCUCUUAUUGUGAAUAUAUAUCAUUUUACCUUCUUAAAAAAAAGUUAAUUGGUAAAAAAAAAAAAAAUUUCUCUCUUGAUUUAUAUGAAAUGACAUUUUUUUUUGGAACAUGGAGGGUAUUGAUUUUUACACCUUUUCAAAAGCCACUCAAGGAUGAAUAUAGAUUUUUCAUGCAUCAAACACAAGAAUCAUUAGCAUAACAUGCUUUGGAAAACACACACAUAUACUUAAAUUAAUGGUUGGAGUAUCAAAUUUAAAAAUAUUGUUGUCAAUACAUACCCCGUCAAUCCUCCUUUUUUACCCAAUAAACAUUGAAAUGUUGCUUCUUUCGUUAAGCAUAAAAACAUCAAAGUCUAGCAAAAUGUUGUUUUUGCGAUGACACAUUUCAUAUAGUUUAAAGGAUGCAUGAUUCGAUUACAAAAACAAAAUACUAAUAAUUCUAGCACAAAGUUUAAAGCUAAGAUUAUAAAGCUUCAUAGCAUGUGGAUAUUCAUUUAGAAAUAUAGGAUUAGGAUUGCCCCUUUCAUCACGGGUCUAAUAGCACCACUUGUCACUACAUGUUAAAAAUGUCCUCUAGUACAACACCGCUUUUUACUUGAUUCCCCUUGUCCAUGAAAAAAUCAAACAAUAUUUGGACACAAAAAUUUGCCCCCACUUUCCUUUUUCUUCUGCCCUAGUUUGUUUGAAAACUCAUAUUGAUCAAAUUUGGCUAUGAAUUCAAACAAAAAAUUCACUCUGCCCAUUGCAUGUGUGGGACCCACAUAUAAAUCCAUGAAGGAUUUCAAUGUCCAUCCAAGUCAAUGAUUCAACAUAUAACAUUGAAUAAUUUAAUUCCAAUUUGCAGUAUUAUGAUUUAGAUUGAUUGCUGCAAUACGGUCCGUGAAUGUAACUCACGAGAAAGAGGUAUCAAGGUAUUUUAUUUUAUUUUUAACAAAUAAAAUUUCAAGGUCUUGUUCACCAUAUAAACCUCCUCACUCUCACUCAAUUCUCUUAAGUGUAUGACUUCAUAGUAAACUACACUACUUUCUUUAAAACAUGGCUAACUAUGCUAUAGCCAAUGUUUUGAUCCUUCUCUUGAACUUGAGUACCUUACUCAAUGUUCUUGCUUGCCCUUAUUGUCCUUACCCAAGCCCUAAACCACCUUCACACCACCCUCCUAUUGUUAAGCCACCAGUUCACAAACCACCAAAGCAUUCUCCUACUCCUAAACCACCAGUUCAUAAACCACCAAGAUAUCCUCCUAAACCAUCACCUUGUCCACCCCCAUCAUCAACACCAAAACCACCUCAUCAUCCCAAACCCCCAGCAGUACACCCACCACAUGUUCCAAAACCACAUCCACCUUAUGUUCCAAAACCACCAAUUGUUAAACCUCCAAUAGUACAUCCACCUUACGUACCAAAACCCCCAGUUGUGAAACCACCACCAUAUGUCCCUAAACCACCUGUUGUGAGACCACCCUAUGUUCCUAAACCACCAGUUGUACCUGUAACACCACCUUAUGUUCCUAAGCCACCAAUUGUUUUCCCACCACAUGUUCCUCUACCUCCAGUUGUACCAUCACCACCACCUUAUGUACCAACACCUCCAAUUGUGAAACCACCAAUUGUUUUUCCACCACAUGUUCCUCUACCUCCAGUUGUGCCUGUAACACCACCUUAUGUGCAACCACCACCUAUUGUAACUCCACCAACACCAACACCUCCAAUUGUGACACCACCAACACCACCUAGUGAAACACCUUGUCCUCCACCACCACUUGUACCUUAUCCACCACCACCAGCACAACAAACAUGUUCCAUUGAUGCUUUGAAGUUGGGUGCAUGUGUUGAUGUGCUUGGUGGACUCAUACAUAUUGGUAUAGGUGGAAGUG